ACGGGUGAGUAACGCGUAGGAAUCUGCCCUCAAGCGGGGGACAACCCGAGGAAACUCGGGCUAAUACCGCAUAAUCUCGAGAGAGUAAAGUUGGGGCAACCUGACACUUGAGGAGGAGCCUGCGUCCGAUUAGCUAGUUGGUGGGGUAAAAGCCUACCAAGGCGAUGAUCGGUAACUGGUCUGAGAGGAUGACCAGUCACACUGGGACUGAGACACGGCCCAGACUCCUACGGGAGGCAGCAGUGGGGAAUAUUGGACAAUGGGGGCAACCCUGAUCCAGCAAUACCGCGUGUGUGAAGACGGCCUUCGGGUUGUAAAGCACUUUAGUUGGGGAAGAAGGUUAGUAUUUUAAGAGAUAACUAACUUGACGGUACCCAAAGAAUAAGCACCGGCUAACUCUGUGCCAGCAGCCGCGGUAAUACAGAGGGUGCGAGCGUUAAUCGGAAUUACUGGGCGUAAAGGGCGCGUAGGCGGUUAUUUAAGUUAGAUGUGAAAUCCCUGGGCUUAACCUAGGAACUGCAUCUGAUACUGGAUAGCUAGAGUGCAGUAGAGGGUAGUGGAAUUUCCGGUGUAGC
rnacentral:rRNA from 1 species